AAGUCGUAACAAGGUUUCCGUAGGUGAACCUGCGGAAGGAUCAUUAACACUUACUGUCUCUUUAAAAAACAGACAUGUAUUUCAACAAAUUCGCGCUCCCUUUUUUUUCCAAACCUUUAACCAAUUUAAAUUUUAUUUUUUAACAGUUUUUCAUUUUAGCGUCUUUAAACAACACUAAAACGGAAAUGUAAGUAAUAACAAUGUUUCUUUGUAUUUUUUUUUCAAAAAAGUAUAAAAAACAGGUUAAAACAAACAACUGUUAACAAUGGAUAUCUAGGCUCUC
rnacentral:misc_RNA from 1 species